rnacentral:rRNA from 1 species
GAUGAACGCUGGCGGCGUGCCUAAUACAUGCAAGUCGAGCGGACAGACGAGGAGCUUGCUCCUUUCACGUUAGCGGCGGACGUGUGAGUAACACGUGUAUAACCUACCUAUAAUUCUGGUAUAACUUCGGGAAACCGGAGCUAAUACCGUAUAAGAUAUUGAACCGUAUGGUUCAAUAGUGAAAUACGGUUUUGCUGUCUCUACUAGAUGGAUCCGCGCCGCAUUAGAUAGUUGUUAAGUUAACGGCCUACCAAGGCGAGGAGGCGUGGGCGAACUGAUGGAGUGGUCGCCCACCCUAGAGCUGGAACACGGUCCAGAGUACUAAGGGAGGCAGCAGUAGCCAACGUGCCGCAAUGGGGGAAAGUAUGGCGCAACAAGCCCAAGUGAGUGACGGAGGUGUUCGGAGCGUAAAACUGUGUUAUUAGGGAAAAACCACUGUGUAAGUAGAUAUGCACGGAUUGACGGUACUUGAUAAGAAAGCACCGGCUAACUACGUG